rnacentral:lncRNA from 1 species
CAGCCCCUCUCAUCUGCUGGUGAGGCUUCAACCACUGGCAGACGUGCUCCUCUUCGGGCUGCUUACUGUGCUCCUGCAGCCCAUAAGCGCUUCGGAGGGGUGCAGUUGCUAUGGCAAUGCCUACAGCCAUCUGAAUUCCUGCUGCACCUUCUGGGAGAAAAGAGCUCAUGAAGAGGCAUUCGGUGGAUUCCCAGUCUGGCCUCUGGCCUCUGCACUGUCAGGAGUCAGCUGAUGGGUUACAUGCCGGACACGUGGGAGGUAGGUAGCCUGCCUUCCUUGGGAAGACACACUCUGUACCCGCAAGCCUCAUGCGCCCGGACGGGUUCUCCUUGUGUGGAUCAGAAAACUAAAUGAAGUGUCCUACUCAGGGCUCCUAGGUAAUAUACUGCACAGGACAACACUUGGAUGAAGAAGAAAACAAAGCAGUGCAGGAAGCCAUCGCCCAUCAGUGAAGAAGGGCCAGAGUCAGCCGUCUAUUUUAAAGGAAGAAAGGGCCCUGGGCAUGGGUGCUGGAACUGGGAUCCCUAGUCUAAGUUGGUUUUGGUCCCCAGCAAUCAAUGAAGACUCUCCCAGACAUGAAGGUGGGCAGCACUGAGGAGCACCAGGUCCCGGAGCCCAGCUGUGCAUUAGAUGUUGUCUCUGCAGCACAAGGUAGGAGGCUGCAGGAUGUACCUGAGAAACGCAAUCGCACAAAGCAAUUGUUCAGCACCAAAUAUGGGGGACAGAAGAGUGCUAAGGGGAGAAGACUCCAACCAUA